AAAUUGAAGAGUUUGAUCAUGGCUCAGAUUGAACGCUGGCGGCAGGCCUAACACAUGCAAGUCGAACGGUAACAGGAAACAGCUUGCUGUUUCGCUGACGAGUGGCGGACGGGUGAGUAAUGUCUGGGAAACUGCCUGAUGGAGGGGGAUAACUACUGGAAACGGUAGCUAAUACCGCAUAACGUCGCAAGACCAAAGAGGGGGACCUUAGGGCCUCUUGCCAUCGGAUGUGCCCAGAUGGGAUUAGCUAGUAGGUGGG
rnacentral:rRNA from 1 species